rnacentral:rRNA from 1 species
UCCUACGGGGGGCAGCAGUGGGGGAUAUUGCACAAUGGGGGAAACCCUGAUGCAGCGACGCCGCGUGUGGGAAGACGGUCUUCUGGAUUGUAAACCACUGUCCCCAGGGACGAAAAUGACGGUACCUGGGGAGGAAGCUCCGGCUAACUACGUGCCAGCGGCCGCGGUAAUACGUAGGGGGCAAGCGUUAUCCGGAUUUACUGGGUGUAAAGGGGGCGCAGGCGGAAUGCCAAGUCAGCGGUAAAAUCGCGGGGCUCAACCUCGCUCCGCCGUUGAAACUGGCGUUCUUGAGUGGGCGAGAAGUA